rnacentral:rRNA from 1 species
UGUGUGUCGUAGUUAACGCGUUAAACAGGGCGCCUGGGAAGUACGGCCGCAAGGCUAAAACCCAAAGGAAUUGACGGGGACCCGCACAAGCAGUGGAGCGCCUGGUUUAAUUCGAUGGUCAGCGAAGAACCUCACCUAGGCUUGAACUGUAGCUGCACGCUCCCAGAAACGGGAGAAUCCUUCGAGGGUGCUACAGAGGUGCUGCAUGGCUGUCGUCAGCUCGUGUCGUGAGAUGUAGGGUUAAGUCCCACAACGAGCGCAACCCCUAUUCAGUGUUAUAAUUACUCUGAAGACUGCCCUGUCCAAACGGGGAGGAAGGAGGGGACGACGCCCAGUCAUCAUGUCCCUUAUGUCUAGGGCUACACAGACGCUACAAUGGCCGGUACAAUGGGUUGCCAAACCGCGAGGUGGAGCCAAUCCCAUCAAAGCCGGUCCCAGUUCGGAUUGCAGUCUGCAACUCGACUGCAUGAAGUUGGAAUUGCUAGUAAUCGCGAAUCAGCACGUCGCGGUGAAUACGUUCUCGGGUCUUGUACACACCGCCCGUCAGGGCACGGGAGUCGCUCUUGCUCGAAGU